GCAUAGCCAUGUCAGGAUCUCCGUCUUCUUCUUCGACCAAAGCAACCUCCUAUCUCCACCUUUCCCUUCCUCUUGCUUCCUUGGGUCACAGUGUCGAUUGGUGAAGUUCAGCAAUGGCGCCGGUUCUCAUCCUCUAAAGUCGACGGCAUUCCUCCAGCGCAGCAGUCGGGUGACGGUCACCGGCGGCAGCAGCUACGAGCUUGAACAGUGGGGAUCACGCGAAGACUCAGCAAGCUCCGGUUCGUCCCUCCGGCGAGCAGUAGCAACGGAGGAAGUAGGUAAUCCGGCGACGAGCAACGACAUUGAGAACCCGUCGGUUGUCUCCUCCCCGUGAAGCCCUUCCGGCAAGAGUGGCGCGACGGUGGUCGUUGGUGGAGAUGGUUUUCCCUCCCCUGUUCACCUCCGGCGACAUCCCCUGUUUGAGGUGAGCAAAGCCUACGGUAGUAGCAUCUCCGGGCAGUGGCGGUGGACUUGGCGGUAGCUGGUGGCGGUACUGGAAGUUCCGUGAAGCUGAGUCGCGAUCUCAUCUCUUCAUCUCUUCAUCUCCUGAUUCGGCGUUCGACGAGCGAUAUGGCAGUGGUUUUCUCCUCCCGUUCGGCGUGGAUAGCAUGAGGCGGUUGACGGCAGGAUGGGUUAGGCAGAUCAGCUCAGGCGUGGUCUAGGAUUAAGCGUGAAAAUUUAGGGGUGUCACACGUAUCCGCGAUGGAGGAAGAGAGACAUCUCGAUUGUGAUCCAAUGGAAAUCAUUUGCGGGUUGUGUGCUUGUGAGAAGAGAAGGAAGGAAAAGGAAGUAGAAGAGACUACCUCUUGUAGUCAAAACCUUACCUCUUGUAGCUGAGAAGGAGAUGUGAAGGAGAACCAUGAAGAGAUCACCUCUUGUGAUCUCGGGAGCAAAGGAAAAGAGAAUGUGCUUCCCAAGCACGAAUCAAUCACCCUGAAGAAGAAAGAUAGGGCAA